rnacentral:misc_RNA from 1 species
UCCAUGGCAUCAAUUUAAUAUAUUUAGAAUAAAUAAUAAUUUUACUCAAAUUAAAGGAAAGCCCAUUGGAUGCACCGACAACAAGCAUGGAGGGAGGGGAAAAAAAUAAAUAAAAAAGACAAAGAAAUUAAGAGGAUAAUGAAACAUGGAAGUCACGAAUUUUGUGUCUUAGUCUCAUUUUCUGUCAUUUUCUUUCCUCCCAAACAAAGUUUAAAACACAAUUUUUUUUUUAACAAAAAUAAAAGAAGAAAGAAUCAGAUACAGUGAUAGGUGGUUUGGAAAUUAAAUAAAGGGUGGUGUAAGAACUUAUAGCUUACAUUUUUAAAUCUCUUUCCUUUCUUCUACAUCUGCCUAUCAAGCCAUUGGCUCA